rnacentral:rRNA from 1 species
AUGGCGGAGCAGCUCAUCUCCACGGCCGUGCACCACACGCUGCCCGAGAGCUACGUCCGGUCCGAGGCGGAGCGGCCGCGCCUGGACGAGGUCGUGCCCGACGCCGACAUCCCCGUCGUCGACCUCGCCAACCCCGACCGCGCCGCCGUCGUCGCCCAGAUCGGCGCCGCCUGCAGCUCCCACGGCUUCUUCCAGGUUAGUCCAUCCCAAUUCCCAUUCCCUCCGGCUUACAAGCCCGGCCGGCGCUCUGUUUUUCCUUUCGGAAAGAGAGAAUGGGGGCGCUCUGCUUUCGCUCACCGUGCUCGCGUAUGCCGCGUGUGGUCUCUGACCGAUCGCCAGGUGCUCAACCACGGGCUGCCGCUGGAGGUCAUGCUGGCAGCGAUGGCGGUGGCGCACGAGUUCUUCCGCCUCUCGCCGGAGGAGAAGGCCAAGCUCUACUCCGACGACCCGGCCAAGAAGAUGCGCCUCUCCACCAGCUUCAACGUGCGCAAGGAGACCGUGCACAACUGGCGUGACUACCUCCGCCUGCACUGCCACCCGCUCGAGCAGUUCGUCCCGGAGUGGCCUGCCAAUCCCCCGCCCUUCAGGGAUGUCAUGAGCACAUACUGCAAGGAGGUCCGGCAGCUUGGGUUCCGGCUCUACGCCAUGAUAUCGGCGAGCCUGGGGCUGGAGCAGGACUACAUCAAGAAGGUCCUCGGCGAGCAGGAGCAGCACAUGGCAGUGAACUUCUACCCAAAGUGCCCGUCGCCGGAGCUGACCUACGGGCUCCCGGCGCACACGGACCCCAACGCCCUCACCAUCCUGAUGAUGGACGAGCAGGUUGCGGGGCUGCAGGUGCUCAAGGAAGGCCGGUGGAUCGCCGUCAACCCGCGGCCCAACGCGCUCGUCAUCAACCUUGGCGACCAGCUUCAGGCGCUGAGCAACGGGAGAUAUAAGAGCGUGUGGCACCGCGCCGUGGUGAACUCGGACAGGCCGAGGAUGUCCAUCGCCUCCUUCCUCUGCCCCUGCAACUGUGUCAAGCUCGGCCCCGCCGAGAAGCUCAUCGGUGAGAAAUCGCCGGCGGUCUACAGAAACUACACCUACGACGAGUACUACAAGAAGUUCUGGAGCAGGAACCUGGACCAGGAGCACUGCCUGGAGCUCUUCAGAACCUAG